GAUGAAGAACGCAGCAAAGUGCGAUAAGUAAUGUGAAUUGCAGAAUUCCGUGAAUCAUCGAAUCUUUGAACGCAAAUUGCACUUUCUGGUAUUCCGGAGAGUAUGCCUGUUUGAGGGUCAGUGUAAUAAAUAAAUCGUGGUUGUUACCACCUUUCGUGGUGACGCUUCGGAAUUGAGUCCUCUUACCCUUCGGGUUAAGUGACUUAAAAUUUUUUCAUACGAUUUCGAAACGUAUUUAAUGUAUUAUGUACGUUCACGAAUAUCGAAUGUUUAUUAGGUGCGGUCAUUUUUCAUGAAUUCGCGUCUAUAAUUUUUUUUUUUUGACCUCAAAUCAGGUAAGAAUACCCGCUGAACUUAAGCAUAUCAAUAAGCGGAGGA
rnacentral:misc_RNA from 1 species